AGUGAACGCUGGCGGUAGGCCUAACACAUGCAAGUCGAACGGCAGCACAGUAAGAGCUUGCUCUUACGGGUGGCGAGUGGCGGACGGGUGAGGAAUACAUCGGAAUCUACUUUUUCGUGGGGGAUAACGUAGGGAAACUUACGCUAAUACCGCAUACGACCUACGGGUGAAAGCAGGGGAUCUUCGGACCUUGCGCGAUUGAAUGAGCCGAUGUCGGAUUAGCUAGUUGGCGGGGUAAAGGCCCACCAAGGCGACGAUCCGUAGCUGGUCUGAGAGGAUGAACAGCCACAUUGGAACGUAGACACGGUCCAGACUCCUACGGGAGGCAGCAGUGGGGAAUAUUGGACAAUGGGCGCAAGCCUGAUCCAGCCAUACCGCGUGGGUGAAGAAGGCCUUCGGGUUGUAAAGCCCUUUUGUUGGGAAAGAAAAGCAGCAGGUUAAUACCCCGCUGUUCUGACGGUACCCAAAGAAUAAGCACCGGCUAACUUCGUG
rnacentral:rRNA from 1 species